rnacentral:rRNA from 1 species
UCAGGGAUAACCCCGGGAAACUGGGGAUAAUACCUGAUAGGCCACGACAUCUGGAAUGAGUCGUGGUUUAAACGUAAGGCUCUUGGAUGGGUCUGCGGCGGAUUAGGUUGUUGCCGGUGUAACGUACCAGCAAGCCUGUAAUCCGUACGGGUUGUGGGAGCAAGAGCCCGGAGAUGGAUUCUGAGACACGAAUCCAGGCCCUACGGGGCGCAGCAGGCGCGAAAACUCUACAAUGCAGGCAACUGCGAUAGGGGAACAUCGAGUGGCACCCACCAUGGGUGUCUGUCCAGCCGUCUAAAAAACGGCUGUUAGCAAGGGCCGGGCAAGACCGGUGCCAGCCGCCGCGGUAAUACCGGCGGCUCGAGUGGUGGCCGAUAUUAUUGAGUCUAAAGGGUCCGUAGCCGGCUUUGCAAGUCCCCUGGGAAAUCCAGCGGCUUAACCGUUGGGCUUUCAUGGGAUACUACAUUGCUUGGGACUGGGAGAGGUAGGAGGUACUCAGGGGGUAGGGGUGAAAUCCUGUAAUCCUCUGGGGACCACCGGUGGCGAAGGCGUCCUACCAGAACAGGUCCGACGGUGAGGGACGAAAGCUAGGGGCACGAACCGGAUUAGAUACCCGGGUAGUCCUAGCCGUAAACGAUGCUCGCUAGGUGUCACGGCAGUCGUGAAUUGUCGUGGUGCCGUAGGGAAGCCGUGAAGCGAGCCACUUGGGAAGUACGACCGC